UUGGGCGUAAGCGUUUCGUAGGCCGUUUCGUAAGUUAUUUUUCAAAUACCACGGCUCAACCGGGGGAAGGGAGAUAAUACUGCGAGGCUUGAUUUUUGGUGGGGUUUCUAGAACUGAUGGUGUAGUAGUGAAAUACGUUGAUAUCAUCAGGAAUUCCAAGGGCGAAGGCAGGAAACUAACCAAUUAAUGACGCUGAGGAACGACAGCUAGGGGAGCGAAAGGGAUUAGAGACCCCUGUAGUCCUAGCCGUAAACUAUGCUCGCUAGGGGUUUGAAGUUUACUUCAUGUCCCGUAAGCUAACGCGUUAAGCGAGCCGCCUGGGGAGUACGGCCGCAAGGCUAAAACUCAAAGGAAUUGACGGGGACCCGCACAACCAGUGGAGCAUGUGGUUUAAUUCGAGACAAAACGAAGAACCUUACCAAGCCUUGACAUACUACCGUUUUAAGCACCUAGAAAUAGGAGCCUAUCUUUAGAAAUAUUGAUGGUAGAACAGGUGCUGCAUGGCCGUCGUCAGCUCGUGCCGUAGGGUGUUCCCUUCAGUGGGGUAACGAGCGCAACCCUUGCCAAAUAUUAAAUAUCUAUUUGGGACUACUUAAAUUUAUUUUAGGUGGAAGUGAGGACGAUGUCAG
rnacentral:rRNA from 1 species